GUGAGCUGGGGACAGUAUUAUAAAAUAAUAGGCAAACUGGUGAUAACCAAAAAAUAGCAUCCCCAUCUCACUAAGGAGGAAACAAGGCUCUGAGAUUUUGGAGGUAGAAAACGUCAUACAGGGAAGGCAGGGUCUGUAUCUAUUAACACAGAACAGAAAAUAUUCUAGGACCAAACAGCUACAUUUCUCACUAUCCAUUCUAUGGAAACACCCUCUCAUACAUGAGGAGAUGCAUCCAAGAAUGUUCAAUGCAGCAGGGAUUGUAAUCACAAAACCUAAGUGCCCAUCAUGGCGGGAGUGAGUGAAUGGUCCAUGGUACACCCUUGUCAUGCUAUGCUGUGCACCAAGGAAGAACAGAACAAAUCUCAUUGGGCUACACGGAGACUCUCCAAGAUACAUGACCGUGAAAAAGCACAAGGCAGAACAGCUGGUCAUUUGGGGAUGGAAUUAUAGCCAGGCCUCUGCUGCCCAUCUGGACAGCCUUUCCCCGCCUCCCCGGAAGUUAGAUGUGAGCAAGUGAUGUGGCUGUCAUCAUGGAACGUGAGCAGAGCUGACGUGGAGCAUCCACAGGCCUGGGGGGACGUGGCGGCGAGUCCUCCGUACUCUUUCUCCUUCCUGAUGGCUGGAAUCUGCACUCACAGCCACCCAGUAUCAACCAGUGACUGUGAUGGUACUGCCGAGGCGGGGGCACACAGGGCAAGGAGAGGCGCCCACCUCUUGCGCCACCCAUGUUGACAAUGUGGUGUAAGAGAGAAAUACAACCCUUUGUCUGCCUGGCCACGUGUUGCUGCCUCGCUUUGUUACAGCACUUUUCUCUGUUAUGGUAUGCUUCCUUCUAAUUGUCCUGCUCUGAGGUGUUCUUUUCCUCACAUUCCA
ensembl:lncRNA